GAUGAACGCUGGCUACAGGCUUAACACAUGCAAGUCGAGGGGAAACGGCAUUGAGUGCUUGCACUGAAUGGACGUCGACCGGCGCACGGGUGAGUAACGCGUAUCCAACCUUCCCGUUACUGCGGGAUAACCUGCCGAAAGGCAGACUAAUACCGCAUGUUCUUCGAUGACGGCAUCAGAUUCGACGCAAAGAUCCGUCGGUAACGGAGGGGGAUGCGUCUGAUUAGCUAGUUGGCGGGGCGACGGCCCACCAAGGAGACGAUCAGUAGGGGUUCUGAGAGGAAGGUCCCCCACAUUGGAACUGAGACACGGACCAAACUCCUACGGGAGGCAGCAGUGAGGAAUAUUGGUCAAUGGGCGGAAGCCUGAACCAGCCACGUAGCGUGCAGGAUGACGGCCCUACGGGUUGUAAACUGCUUUUAUGCGGGGAUAAAGUGAGGGACGCGUCCCUUUUUGCAGGUACCGCAUGAAUAAGGACCGGCUAAUUCCGUG
rnacentral:rRNA from 1 species